rnacentral:rRNA from 1 species
AACGGGUGAGUAACACGUGAGCAAUCUGCCCCUGACUCUGGGAUAAGCGCUGGAAACGGCGUCUAAUACUGGAUACGAACCGUGGAGGCAUCUUCAACGGUUGGAAAGAUUUUUUGGUCAGGGAUGAGCUCGCGGCCUAUCAGCUUGUUGGUGAGGUAAUGGCUCACCAAGGCGUCGACGGGUAGCCGGCCUGAGAGGGUGACCGGCCACACUGGGACUGAGACACGGCCCAGACUCCUACGGGAGGCAGCAGUA